CGGACGGGUGAGUAAUGUCUGGGAAACUGCCCGAUGGAGGGGGAUAACUACUGGAAACGGUAGCUAAUACCGCAUAAUGUCUACGGACCAAAGCGGGGGACCUCCGGGCCUCUUGCCAUCGGAUGUGCCCAGAUGGGAUUAGCUAGUAGGUGGGGUAACGGCUCACCUAGGCGACGAUCCCUAGCUGGUCUGAGAGGAUGAUCAGCCACACUGGGACUGAGACACGGCCCAG
rnacentral:rRNA from 1 species